rnacentral:pre_miRNA from 1 species
UGGUUUGAGAGAUUGAAGCUGCCAGCAUGAUCUGGUAAUGAACCCUUUAUGCAUAUUCUUUCUCACUACUAUACUAUUUGUAUAUAUAGAUAGAAUCAGGCACUAUCCAUAGAUUUGUAUUGCCAGUUUUGGAUACAUUUUAUGUGAUAUAUAUGGAUUUGGUACUUAGAUAUAGAAUAUGUGUAAUUAAUUAUAGCUGAAAAAAGGGGUGAGUAAGUACACCUAUAUAUACAUAGAUAGGAAAUUAACCUAAUUGGGCAUACACCCAGUUGAGCUUAGGUAUAGAUAUUUAUGAGUAUAAAUAGUUCCAUCAGGUCAUCUUGCAGCUUCAAUCCCUCAAUCA